rnacentral:lncRNA from 1 species
AACCAGGAAACAAAGACAUAAAUAAGUCAAAGACUUGCUCUGGUAAUAACAAUAAUUGCAUUUCUGUGACUCCAACUUCCACCUCUUCUAAGAGGAUUGCAGCAAAAAUAUUUCUUCUCCAACACAUCCAACAGCCUCAGGUACAGGUGCCCCAGUAAUGGCUGGUGCAGGAGGGGCACCAAUCCCAGAACAGCAAGCUCAGGUAUUCCAGUCAAGAUGGGUGGGCUCUACAUAGACAUCAAUCUGGCCUUGCUUGCUGGUGUCGCAUCCUUACAGCAACAGGAUUUCAGGUAUGCUCUGGCCCUGGCCUGAGCCCCUGCUGCCAGGAGGCAGGGAGAACACCACUGAAGAAGUCCUUGUGCCUUUCAUGUGUGAUUUUGUCCAGUAGCCCUGACAGUGGUGAAUGCCAACAGAACAUUGCUCCAAUGUGUGAUUUCUGUGCCUUUGAGUCUAAAAGUGAUGUGUUUCCCCAGGAGGCUUGCUGAAGAGUAAAAGAAGAUGAGGCUCCUCUGGAGAAGGGUCAGUGCAGCAGAAACAUGGUGAGCUCCAUCCACCCAGGGCCACCUCCAGCCAGCCUGCCUCUGGGUUGGCUCCUGCACUGCUUGCAGAAACUGGGACUGGGAUGAGGGCCUUGCCUGCUAAGGAAGAUGGAGAGAUAUCCUUUAAAACAAGGUUUCAUGUGUAUAACCUCAAGUCUUGUGUUUCUUCUGAUUGAUUCUGGUUAUUCCAGAAUUUCUGCAUGUCUGUUCCAUAUGCAGAUUUCACAAGCAUUCGUUGAGAAGAUCAUUGAAGGCCACCUGGGACAUAUCUUAGAAAAUGAGUAAGUUUCCUUAUCUUUUGUCAAAAUAUUCAUCAGUUUCCAAGACUGCAUAGAUACUCUAACAUACACUGUGACUGGUGUACUCAAAGUUUAUCUUGCCUGCCUGAUCUGAGGUCAGUUGGAAGUUGAACACAGGUAGCAAACAAGACAUUUUUCUUCCAUGUAUACAACAUAUUUUUAAAGGGCAAUUUUCAUUGCAGAAAUAUUUUGCAUAUGUUAUAUCAUUUGCAUAAGAUUUAAGAGUGGUUUUAUAAUGAAUAUAAACCUUUUACCUUAAUGGUUCUUACAAUAAUGUAAAAGAAAAAUGCUAACUUACACAUUGUUAUAAUUCUUUUAUAUCUACAGCCUUUUUCUAUAUUCCCAAUUGUUUAAGAAAACUAUUUCAAGAACAAAUAUUCUUUCUGGAAAAUUGCCAUUUUCCAUUUGUUAGGAAUUUUUAUAGAACACCACCAAUAUAUGCCCUUUCUUUUACUAUGGAAUAUGUGCUGGAAAAAUUGCAGCAAACCAUUACUAC